rfam:Rachicladosporium antarcticum strain CCFEE 5527 scaffold_13, whole genome shotgun sequence.
GGUCGGGUGGCCUAAUGGUAAGGCGUUGCUUUCCGGUUCAGUCUGGCAAAGAUUGCGGGUUCGAGUCCCGUCUCGAUCG